rnacentral:misc_RNA from 1 species
UGAGGAUUCAUCUAAAUUAACAAAUUAAAGUGUUAAAAGUUAGCGAUAAUCAACAUAUAUAUUCAUAAAUAAAGCAAAGAACUAAAUAAAAUAAAGAAAGGGAUGACAAGGGAAUUUGGCCCCUUUCUGACUCUUCUUGCCAUUGCUGCGAUCAAAUUGGACCCUUUCAAGUGCAAUUUUCAAAUUUCCAUCGCUCCUGCUUGUUCAAAUUGGACUUCAAAACUCUAAAAAUUUCCAAAUUUAGUCCCUUUGGAACUGCUGCUACUGUUGCAGUAUUAAUUUGGAUUCUAAAAAUCCAACAUCCAAUUUCCAGCCAUUUGGAAUUGCCAUUACGCCGCUACUUAGUUGCUUCCACUACUUCGGAUUUUAACCACACAAUAUUACCUUCCCUAUCAUAAUUCUGAUAAAGGUUGACUCAAGAAGAGGAAAAUGGAAGAGAGGGCAGUCCAUUUGUACUCAUUCGGAGAGAGUUCAUGCAAAGAAUGAAUAAGAAAGGGAAUAUGCAAGUAGAUUAGCUCCAAAGGAAACAUAAAAAAUUACAAUUAUCGUCAAACUAACCAAACAUGAAACACAUGAUCAUUAAAUAAUCACAGCUUUCAGAACUUAAGUAGUAUGGUAAA